AGGAGGGAGGUACAACAGAGGCAGUGGAGACGGGGUGCACGCCACACACCUUCCAGUUAUGAGGGGUCUGGAAAGGUCUGGAAAAAAAGGAAUUGAAAUAGCGACAUCCACACUGAAGCUUUUCCUCUGAAAAAGGAAAAUAAUGUGACCAAAUAAUUUAUCAUCCAUCCAAGAACAUUUUUGAGUACUCUUAAAAAUUACACCAGAACCACAGGAAUAAACCACAGCUGCUCUGGAAGGGUCCUGGGCAAGUUGGACCUAAGAGCACCCCAGAAAUGAAAGUCUUUGUUUCUUUUUAAAAAAUUGUAGACAUCACUGAACAGGUGAAAAGGGCUCUCUGAUUCUUUCCAAAGGGGAGAGUAAUGAGAAAGGAUGAAAAGGAGCAGAGAUGUAUCAGUUAAGAUGCUUUCAAUUGCACAUAACAGUAGCCAGAGAUAAUGGGCUUAAAUUAAAGGGAUUUCUUUGUCUCACAUAACAGUGGUCCAGUGACAGGUGGAUCAAUGGCUCAACCAUAUCAGGUGUAUUAGUCCAUUCUCAUUCUGCUAAUAAAGACAUAUGCAAGACUGGGUAAUUUAUAAAGGGAAAAAAGAGGUUUAAUGGACUCACAGUUCCACAUGGGUGGGGAGGCCUCACAAUCAUGGUGAAGGCAGAGGAGCAAGGACACGUCUUACAUGGCAGCAGGCAAGAGAGUGUGUGCAGGAGAGCUCCCCUUUAUAAAACAUCUCAUGAGACAUAUUCACUAUCAUGAGAACAGCAUGAGAAAGACCUGCCCCCAUGAUUCAGUUACGUCCAACCGGGUCCCUCCCACCACACGUAGGGAUUAUUAAAAUUAGAGGUGAGAUGUGGGUUGGGACACAGCCAAACCAUAUCAUCAGGGCUUCUCAGAGACUCUCCCUCACUACUGCAAGAUGGCUGCUAAGGCUGCAUAUAUAAUGUCUUGACAAAUGCACAUACAAAAUGCUAGGAAGGAGUAG
rnacentral:lncRNA from 1 species